UCGCAAAGAGUCAGACACGACUGAAUGACUGAACACGCACACAUCUAGUAACAAAAAUGAAAAUUUCAUUUGUCUUUAAAAAGGUUGUGUCCUUCUGAUUAUUUUUUUUUUUCCAGUUGACUGCCACGUAAGUUUGGACUCGAUUAUCAGUACAAAAGUGCCUGUAAUUUAUUUGCGGCAGGGUGAAUGAAUGAACUGCCACUGCUAUCACCAGUCCUGAGAACAACCCUCUCCUAUCCAGGGAUCUCCUGCCCUUGGGAGCAGCUACUGGCUAGGUUCCCUGCGGUCCCUCAAGUGGUGCGCUGGCAGGACCGGGUGGGACAAGGACUUGGGCCAGGUGUGUCCACUUCCAGGAGGCCUCGCUAACCACAGAUUCCUAAUGAUAUUCAAGAAAGAAUCAUAAGCAUCAAACAAAUAAAGGAAAGACAACUCACCC